rnacentral:rRNA from 1 species
AUGCCCCUAAUCGACAAGUUCUCUGGAAAACUCAAAGGGUGGAAGCCGAAGAUGCUAGCCACGGCGGGCCGCCUCUCCCUUACACGAUCGAUGCUGAUGGCGCUGCCGAUCCAUUUUAUGGCUGUGCUACCACUCCCGAUGUGGGCCAUUAAAAUCAUCAACAGAAAAUGCAGAGGGUUCAUUUGGAAAGGAGAAGAGCAAGUUAGUGGGGGGCACUGCCUCAUGCCUUGGGCAAGGGUUUGCAUGCCAAGGGAAUUU